GAUGAACGCUGGCGGCGUGCCUAAUACAUGCAAGUCGAGCGAACAGAUGAGGAGCUUGCUCCUCUGACGUUAGCGGCGGACGGGUGAGUAACACGUGGAUAACCUACCUAUAAGACUGGGAUAACUUCGGGAAACCGGAGCUAAUACCGGAUAAUAUAUUGAACCGCAUGGUUCAAUAGUGAAAGACGGUUUUGCUGUCACUUAUAGAUGGAUCCGCGCCGCAUUAGCUAGUUGGUAAGGUAACGGCUUACCAAGGCAACGAUGCGUAGCCGACCUGAGAGGGUGAUCUGCCACACUGGAACUGAGACACGGUCCAGAAUCCUACGGGAGGCAGCAGUAGGGAAUCUUCCGCAAUGGGCGAAAGCCUGACGGAGCAACGCCGCGUGAGUGAUGAAGGUCUUCGGAUCGUAAAACUCUGUUAUUAGGGAAGAACAAAUGUGUAAGUAACUAUGCACGUCUUGACGGUACCUAAUCAGAAAGCCACGGCUAACUACGUG
rnacentral:rRNA from 1 species